rnacentral:rRNA from 1 species
AACAGCUAGCUCAUACUCAUAAAUUCAAAACAACACCAUAAAUAACCCCAAACGCACGAUUAGUAACAUAAUUAAACCAUUCUUCCUCCUUAGUACGGGCGACGGAAAAGGGACA